rnacentral:rRNA from 1 species
UGGGCUUGACAUGCCGGGAAUCCUUUGGAAACAUUGGAGUGCCCCCAGUUCGCUGGGGGAACCUGGACAC